rnacentral:rRNA from 1 species
UGGCUCAGGACGAACGCUGGCGGCGUGCCUAAUACAUGCAAGUCGAACGGUCUUUCUAUGGAAGCUUGCUUCCACUGAGAAGAUAGUGGCGGACGGGUGAGUAACACGUGGGUAACCUGCCCAUAAGAGGGGGGAUAACAUCCGGAAACGGGUGCUAAUACCGCAUAGUUUUCUUGAUCGCAUGAUCGGGAAAGGAAAGACGGCCUUUGUGCUGUCGCUUAUGGAUGGACCCGCGGCGUAUUAGUUAGUUGGUGAGGUAACGGCUCACCAAGACGAUGAUACGUAGCCGACCUGAGAGGGUGAUCGGCCACAUUGGGACUGAGACACGGCCCAAACUCCUACGGGAGGCAGCAGUAGGGAAUCUUCCGCAAUGGACGAAAGUCUGACGGAGCAACGCCGCGUGAGUGAAGUAAAGGUUUUCGGAUCGUAAAACUCUGUUGUCAGAGAAGAACAAGUCGGAGAGUAACUGCUCCGGCCUUGACGGUAUCUGACCAGAAAGCCACGGCUAACUACGUGCCAGCCGCUGC